rnacentral:rRNA from 1 species
AAUGCUUAGGAAUCUGCCUAUUAGUGGGGGACAACAUCUCGAAAGGGAUGCUAAUACCGCAUACGUCCUACGGGAGAAAGCAGGGGAUCACUUGUGACCUUGCGCUAAUAGAUGAGCCUAAGUCGGAUUAGCUAGUUGGUGGGGUAAAGGCCUACCAAGGCGACGAUCUGUAGCGGGUCUGAGAGGAUGAUCCGCCACACUGGGACUGAGACACGGCCCAGACUCCUACGGGAGGCAGCAGUGGGGAAUAUUGGACAAUGGGGGGAACCCUGAUCCAGCCAUGCCGCGUGUGUGAAGAAGGCCUUAUGGUUGUAAAGCACUUUAAGCGAGGAGGAGGCUCUUUUGGUUAAUACCCAAGAUGAGUGGACGUUACUCGCAGAAUAAGCACCGGCUAACUCUGUGCCAGCAGCCGCGGUAAUACAGAGGGUGCAAGCGUUAAUCGGAUUUACUGGGCGUAAAGCGCGCGUAGGNNNNCGGCCAAUUAAGUCAAAUGUGAAAUCCCCGAGCUUAACUUGGGAAUUGCAUUCGAUACUGGUUGGCUAGAGUGUGGGAGAGGAUGGUAGAAUUCCAGGUGUAGCGGUGAAAUGCGUAGAGAUCUGGAGGAAUACCGAUGGCGAAGGCAGCCAUCUGGCCUAACACUGACGCUGAGGUGCGAAAGCNNNNNNNNNAAACAGGAUUAGAUACCCUGGUAGUCCAUGCCGUAAACGAUGUCUACUAGCCGUUGGGGCCUUUGAGGCUU